rnacentral:tRNA from 1 species
GCCGAUUUAGCUCAGUUGGUAGAGCACAUCACUCGUAAUGAUGAGGUCGUCGGUUCGAUUCCGACAAUCGGCU